rnacentral:misc_RNA from 1 species
UACAUUUUGUCUCAUUUUACCAUCUGUACAUGUACAUGUACCUACAUAGUUGGAAAGGAAGAAUGAGCAAAUUCAGCAAAUACAUAUUGAAAAAAAAAUGGCUGGACCAGGCAUGAAACCUAGGAGCCCAGCAGUUUUAGUCAAGUGCUCUUCCAUUCAGCUAUCCAGACCAAUAUCCAUUUACUUAACCACAUGUACAUGUACAUCAAACAAGUUCUAAAAAUUCUUUAAUUAUCAAAAGUGUUAGUGAGAAUCAACAUGUCCAUGUACAUACAUCAAUAUGAAAUUAAAAUUUGAUUUUACCUGU